GUAGGUGGCAAGCGUUGUCCGGAAUUAUUGGGCGUAAAGCGCGCGCAGGCGGUUCUUUAAGUCUGAUGUGAAAGCCCACGGCUCAACCGUGGAGGGUCAUUGGAAACUGGAGAACUUGAGUACAGAAGAGGAAAGCGGAAUUCCACGUGUAGCGGUGAAAUGCGUAGAGAUGUGGAGGAACACCAGUGGCGAAGGCGGCUUUCUGGUCUGUAGCUGACGCUGAGGCGCGAAAGCGUGGGGGAGCAAACAGGAUUAGAUACCCUGGUAGUCCACGCCGUAAACGAUGAGUGCUAAGUGUUAGGGGGUUUCCGCCCCUUAGUGCUGCAGCUAACGCAUUAAGCACUCCGCCUGGGAGUACGGCCGCAAGGCUG
rnacentral:rRNA from 1 species